rnacentral:misc_RNA from 1 species
GAAUGAAUGUAGAGUCGGUUGUCGCUGGUCCCUUCGGGGGCAUGUGCACGCCUUCUCUUUCAUCCACACACACCUGUGCACUUGUGAGACGGAAGCCCUCGGGCGUCCGUCUGCUCUACAUAAACUCAUAUCUAUAAUUUGAAUGUAAUUGAUGUAAUACAUCUUUAAACUAAGUUUCAACAAUGGAUAUCUUGGUUCU